GCGACAGGCUAACACAUGCAAGUCGAGGGGCGAGCGACAAGGAGCAAUCUGAGGUGGCGACCGGCGCACGGGUGAGUAACACGUAUGCAACCUGCCUGUAAGACGGGGAAGUAACCCGUUGAAAGACGGACUAAUACCGCAUAAUACUAAAUUACUGCAUGGUAAUUUAUUUAAACAUUUAUGGCUUACAGAUGGGCAUGCGCAUGAUUAGCUAGUUGGAGAGGUAACGGCUCCCCAAGGCAACGAUCAUUAGGGGUUCUGAGAGGAAGGUCCCCCACACUGGUACUGAGACACGGACCAGACUCCUACGGGAGGCAGCAGUGAGGAAUAUUGGUCAAUGGACGAGAGUCUGAACCAGCCAAGUCGCGUGCAGGAAGAAUGUUCCCUAUGGAUUGUAAACUGUCUUUUGCGAGGGGAAUAAAGUGCAUCACGUGUGAUGUUUUGUAUGUACUCUGCGAAUAAGGAUCGGCUAACUCCGUGCCAGCCGCGGC
rnacentral:rRNA from 1 species